UAAGACAGAUGUGAAAUCCCCGGGCUCAACCUGGGAACUGCAUUUGUGACUGUAUAGCUAGAGUACGGCAGAGGGGGAUGGAAUUCCGCGUGUAGCAGUGAAAUGCGUAGAUAUGUGGAGGAACACCAAUGGCGAAGGCAGCCCCCUGGGAUAACACUGACGCUCAUGCACGAAAGCGUGGGGAGCAAACAGGAUUAGAUACCCUGGUAGUCCA
rnacentral:rRNA from 1 species